ACAUACGACCACAGGGUACUUAAGCCACACGCCGGGAGGUUAGUAGUUGGGUGGGUGACCACCAGCGAAUCCCUUCUGUUGUAUGUC
rnacentral:rRNA from 1 species